ACCCGCUGAACUUAAGCAUAUCAAUAAGCGGAGGAAAAGAAACCAACAGGGAUUGCCCUAGUAACGGCGAGUGAAGCGGCAACAGCUCAAAUUUGAAAUCUGGCUCUUUUAGAGUCCGAGUUGUAAUUUGCAGAGGGCGCUUUGGCUUUGGCAGCGGUCCAAGUUCCUUGGAACAGGACGUCACAGAGGGUGAGAAUCCCGUACGUGGUCGCUGGCUAUUGCCGUGUAAAGCCCCUUCGACGAGUCGAGUUGUUUGGGAAUGCAGCUCUAAAUGGGAGGUACAUUUCUUCUAAAGCUAAAUAUUGGCCAGAGACCGAUAGCGCACAAGUAGAGUGAUCGAAAGAUGAAAAGCACUUUGGAAAGAGAGUCAAAAAGUACGUGAAAUUGUUGAAAGGGAAGCGCUUGAGACCAGACUCGACCAGUGGUGAUCAGCGGUGCUUCUGUGCCGUGCACUUGCCAUUGGUUGGGCCAGCAUCGGUUUGGACGGCGGGAUAAAGACCUAAGGAAUGUGGCUCCCUCCGGGGAGUGUUAUAGCCUUGAGUGCAAUGCCGCCAGUCUGGACCGAGGACCGCGCUUCGGCUAGGAUGCUGGCGUAAUGGUCUU
rnacentral:rRNA from 1 species